AAGUACCUGGAUUUGGGGUCGCCACAGAGAAAGUAGAAGAGAAGUCUGCUACCUCACUAUUCCAGUAUCCAGUCUUCUUAUGAGGUAAGAGAUAUUAUUUUUUUCAGUAUUUAUAGGAAUAAUAUUGUCUUCCAUACUCUGUUGUAAGACCCCAACUUUUCCAUAAAGAUAAUUUUUCUAUAAAUAUCAUUUUUGAAUAUUAUGGGAUGAAUUUGAUAUAAUGUUAUAGUUGUGGG
rnacentral:lncRNA from 1 species